rnacentral:lncRNA from 1 species
AGCGACUACCCGAGUAUAGUUCAUAGUCUGUUAUUAUCAUCUUUUGUAUAUGAUGAAUAAAGUUGUAAAAAAUGUAUAAAUAAUGUAAAAGACUUAUGUUUUGAAGAAUGAUGAUCAUGUGAUGUAUAAAUGAAAGAAAAGAAUGAAUGUAGUUGUAAUAUGCUUGUAUUUGAUUAAAAGCAAUCAAGAUACUUGUAGUAUACUAGUAUCCCUACACUUAGUAUAUAUAUAUAAGUGUGUGUGUGAGGGUACGUGUGUGUGUGUGUGUGAGUGCACAUGUGUGAGUAUGUGUAAUGCCAUGUGGCAUCACCUCCCCCCCCCUCUUUUAUGCAUGCAGGGAAGAGAGAGAGAGGAGUUUAUCUCCUCUCUUCUCUCCUUUUCUCUUUCGUUCGGCCGUACCAAGGAAGCACGCGAGGGACGCCGCCGCGGAGCCGAUUUCGCCGUCGACGUCGCACCGCAGAGCCGUUCGAACCUACGGUUGCUGCCGUUGCAUCGUGAGGAGGCCGGGCGAGAGUGAAUCCACGAAGCCCUUGACGUCGCGCCAGUGCUAGUCGCCGUCGAGGUGAGUAUUCCAUAGAAUUCCGUCCUAAGUACCAAACUGUUGCGAAUUUCGAGCGAGCUGCAAACCCUGCAGAUGUCCAGCGUAGACCGUUGGCGUUUCAGCUCGUACUCCCGAAGUAGGAGCGUCGGAGAUCGACCAGGCUAGAGUCGCUGGAUGCAGGACUGCGAGAGGAAUACAGGAAGCCACGGAAUUACCAGAUUUAGGUGAGGUUACAUCGGUUCGAAUCCGUGAAGUACCUGACUGUAGCCAAUCAUGGAUAAAUCGUGAUUUCUACAAUAGUUUAGCUCAAAUUCAUGGAUUAUUAUUAGAAUGCAAAAUCUGAAUUUGCGAGCAUAUUUUAUUAAGUAAUUAGAUUAUACAAUGUGGACUUGGAAAUUGAAUUAGGAGAAAACUUGCGAUUUGGACCUGUCAUCAGUUUUAACUACCUGAUUUAGCUCUAGGAGCCGUCAGAAAAUUGUACUGUCUCAGUUUCUUCGAGACGAGUACUCCAGGUAGUUUAGAAUGUAUUUACACUCGUGCUGGUUCGCCGAGUGGAUUUUUACAGGGUCGUUCAGGUUGUUCCGGACUGUUGGGUGCCGUCAGAGUUGACGGUGGACCCGUAUCGCCUUUUUGGCGUCAGACUGUGCCGAGGGCACGUUACCUGUUGGUUGUUAGGCCAGUUUGAGUCGAUUACUUGACUUUGGAUAGUUGGAGCCUGAUUGAGCUCGACAGAGAUACGCUGCAUACUCGGUUGGGUAGCGCCCACGAGUGCCACUCCGGAGUCAGGCUUGUGCUUUUGCGUUGGUGUCGCUCAUGCCAGUUGGACUUGCUCUCCACAGACCAGCUAGUGUGGAUAGAGCCUGAUAGUCGCAACGGGGCAGGGACGGGUGUGUUCACAGUCCCAGGGACGGGUAUGUUUACAGUCCCAAUUGGAUUGGGUCAGAUUUGACAUUUCCUACAGUCGGUUAAUGUAGAGCAUGAUAGUGUAGUGGAUGAUAGCGAUAGAGUGUACUUCCUGCUUUUCCUUCUAUCCUUGCUCCCUUCUGUAGACUUAGUGGGUGACCGAUGUCGUUUUGGGCGGUACCCACUGAGGACUACUUGUUUUUACAGUAGUUCUCACGCCCAGUUGUUACCUAUGUUUUGCAGAGCCACAGGUUUCGGCUACUGCGCCUUCCGCGGAUCAGGAUCGAGGCAAGGGCGUCGCGAGGUAGAGCCCUACCCGACUGACAGAGCUAGAGGCACCCCCCUACUGCAGGUAGUUGCUAUUUUAGAGUUUAUGUACAUAGUUGUUUAACUCGCCGGUGCGAGUAGCUUUGUAUUUUGGAUUUGGACUAUGUAUAUGAAACUCAGUUGUUUAGCUUUGUAUAUUGAGCAGCUCUAUGCUACUGUUUGUAGUAUUGUAUAUUUACAGGUACUUUUGACGCUUCGUAUACAGGGGAAAUUCCUUGUAUACGGCGGAUUUGUCGGCGUGCCCGGGGAACGAGACAUCCGGGGCGUGACAGAUUAAGUUGGUAUCAGAGCUUUGCUAUAGGUCGUUGGGACCUAGGAAACCUAAGUUUGGCAAACCUUAGGAAAGCAAGACGCGAGAGGCGUAAUUUAAUUACGAAAGUCAAUGAUUGUUUGUUCUAACUCCUCCUCGAAUGGGGUGAGUGAUUGAAGGAGUACCUGUUUGGCCUGAAAAAUUAUGUUGGCUGCAGACGACAUAAUUUUGGAGGGAAACAGGCACCGCCUUCCAGACUUUCGUUGAUUGGGUCGAGAGUGUUAUGUUAUAUCUGACCCCGAUUUGUUCCUUUCAGCUAUGUAUCGUCGCCGAGGUCGACCGUCGUUGCGGGAUCGUGCGGGACCUUCUGAGAGAUCUGAGCAGAUGGAGCAGAGUGCUCGGCAGGAGCAGAGGGACAGACCGGAGGCGAGUGCACCCCCUGUUGUGGAGCCGAGUGCGCGACCUGAGGCUAGCGCACCCCCUGAUCUGAGUGCACAGUUGGCUGCCCUGACUGAGGUGACGAGGCAGCAGGGGGAGUUGUUGCAGAGGUUGUGUGAGAGGAUAGCUCAGUCACCGAGUUCAGCACCGAGUGUACCAGAGCAGACUGUUCCACCCCCGACUACUCCAGCGUCAGCUCCCGCCGCAGCUAUGCCCCCACCGGUGGAGAUUCCUAUAGCGCCAGUUGCGCCUGCCAGGGGGCCUGUACCAUUGACUGAGGCCGAGCAGGAGCGGUGGAUGGAGAGGUUAGCUCGUUUCCGCCGAUUUGAUCCACCGAUCUUCGAUGGUAGAGGCACUGAGGCCUGGGUUGUUGAGGGUUGGGUCAGUGCUAUGGAGAGGUUAUUCGAGGAUCUGUACGUUCCAGAGGGGGAGCAGGUACCUUUGGGAGUACACUGUUUGUCAGGUGAUGCACGUGACUGGUGGCGGAGAGUGAGGCGAGACCAGAGACUGGAGGCAGCGCAGCUGAGCUGGGAUGAGUUCUGUGGAAUGCUGUAUGGGAUGUAUUUUCCCAACAGCAUGAAACAGAAGAUUGAGGAGGAUUUGAAGAGGCUCCAGCAGGGCGAGCGGACAGUUCAGGAGUAUGUUCGGGAGUUUACUAGACUCCUGAACUGUGUUCCGUUCGUGGCCAGAGACGAGGCACAUAGGGUCUACUUGUUCGAGCAGGGUUUGAGACCCGACCUAUUCAGGUUCGUUAGGGCGCAGAGGUCGAGGACUUUGGACGCGUCCAUUGAGCAGGCACUAUGGGAGGAGAGAGGAGAGGUGUCACUGCGAGAGAGGGCUCAGGGGCCGGGACAGAGUCAGGACAGGAAGCGCCCAGCUCCAGACGACGGAGGCCAGUCGAGUAGCAGGCGUCCGCCGAGACCUCCACGAUCGCGUUCUCAGGGUCGUGGGUUCUCGGGACGUCAGCGAUCCAGAGACUCCCGUCAGAGAGGACAGCCUGAGAGGGCGCCGCAGUGUGUGAUCUGCGGAGGACCACACUGGCCCAGACAGUGCGAGCAGAGGGAGGGCCGGUGCUACGGGUGUGGUCAGCCGGGACACAUGAGGGCAGCUUGUCCUCGAGCAGCAUCUCCAGCACCAUCGUCAGCUUCAGCUCCACCAGCACCUCAGCAGUCAUUCAGAGCAGCACCGAGUUACCGCCAGGAGGAUAGAUCAUCCGUGCCGCGACAGGGUGAGCGGCGACAGCAGGCUCCGAGUGGCAGAGUUUAUGCAACUCAGGUGGAGGACUCUUCAGCAGCCGACCGAGUGGUGGCAGGUAUCACUUUGAUUUCUGGCAUUAGAGUUCGCACUCUUUUUGAUACUGGUGCAUCGCAUUCCUUUGUUAGCCGAGCAUUUGCAUUGUUGCAUGGUCUAGAGUUAGGGGCAUUGUCACAGGCACGAGAGGUGCAGAUUCCGGACCAUGUUUUAAAGGUUGCAGAGUGUUGUUGGUCGUGUCCGGUGCAGUUGGACUCGUGGGUCAUGCCCGCAGACCUGUUGGUGUUAGGGCAGCUGCAGGACUUCGACGUCGUGCUCGGUAUGGAUUGGCUGGCGCGGUACUAUGCUACGAUCGACUGUGGAGCGAGGACGGUGACGUUCCGUGAGCCAGGCCAGGAGGAGUUCACUUUCAGAGGCUGCAGGAGCACGCUAUUCGCCACCUGGAUAUCUUCUGCGAGGGCUCGACAGAUGCUGAGUAGUGGGUGUAUCGCUUUCCUAGCGACAGUUGUGGAGGUACCUACGGCGGUGCCGGAACUCGAGGAUAUCCCUGUAGUCCGCGAGUUUCCGGAUGUAUUUCCCCCUGAGUUGACGACGUUGCCGCCGGAGAGGGAGAUUGAGUUUGUGAUUGAUGUAGUUCCUGGAACUGCACCAAUCUCAAAGGUACCUUAUCGGAUGGCGCCGGCAGAGCUGAGAGAGCUAAAGGCACAGCUUCAGGAUUUGAUGGAUAAAGGGUUUGUGAGACCCAGUGUAUCGCCUUGGGGAGCGCCAGUGCUAUUUGUAAAGAAGAAGGAUGGUUCGCUCAGGUUAUGUGUGGAUUACCGGGAGCUGAAUAAAGUGACCAUCAAGAAUAAGUAUCCCUUGCCGCGCAUUGAUGAUUUGUUCGAUCAGUUGCAAGGAUCUUAUGUCUUCUCGAAGAUUGAUCUCCAGUCAGGUUACCACCAGCUGAGGGUGAGGGCCGAGGAUGUUCCCAAGACGGCUUUUCGGACUCGGUACGGGCAUUAUGAGUUCACAGUGAUGCCUUUUGGAUUGACGAAUGCCCCUGCCGCAUUCAUGGAUUUGAUGAACAGAGUGUUCAAGCCGUUCUUGGAUAGGUUUGUGGUAGUCUUCAUCGACGAUAUCCUGAUUUACUCCCGGAGUGAUGCUGAGCAUGAGGAGCACUUGAGGAUUGUGCUACAGCUUCUGCGCGAGAAGAAGUUGUAUGCCAAGUUAAAGAAGUGCGAGUUCUGGCUACGGGAGGUUGCUUUCUUGGGCCACGUGAUUUCAGCUGAGGGCGUAGCAGUGGACCCGAAGAAGAUUGAGGCGAUUCGAGAUUGGCCUAGACCGACGACGGUUACUGAGGUACGGAGCUUCCUGGGACUGGCAGGAUAUUACCGUCGGUUUGUGGAAGGCUUUGCGAAGCUUUCCACACCCCUCACACGCUUGACGCGGAAGGGGAUUCGUUUUGUCUGGAGCGACGACUGUCAGAGGAGCUUUGACGAGUUGAGACUGAGGUUGACGUCGGCUCCUAUCCUUGCCCUUCCGGUGAUGGGGGAUGGAUUCGUGAUCUAUAGUGAUGCAUCGCACAGUGGACUUGGUUGCGUGCUGAUGCAGCAUGGUAGGGUGAUUGCUUAUGCUUCACGGCAGUUAAAGGAUUAUGAGAAGAAUUACCCUACGCAUGACUUGGAGCUUGCCGCGGUGGUUUUUGCUUUGAAGCUCUGGCGGCAUUACUUGUACGGCGAGCACUGCGAGAUUUUUACUGAUCAUAAAAGUCUCAAGUAUCUGUUCACCCAAAAGGAGUUGAAUUUGAGACAGCGCCGGUGGUUGGAGUUGCUGAAGGAUUAUGACAUCAGUAUCCAGUAUCAUCCCGGCAAGGCGAAUGUGGUGGCAGAUGCGUUGAGCAGGAAGGCAGUGCAGAGCUUGAGUAUGUUGAUCACUCGGCAGAGACCGUUACUCGAGGAGCUGAGACGGCUGGGACUCGAGGUAGUGUCUCCUGGGUUUACUGCGAGAUUGACGUCUAUGAUCUUACAGCCCACUCUGUUGGACAGGAUUCGAGAGAAACAGAAUGGGGAUCCACACUUGUCGAGGAUUCGAGAGCAGCUUGAGAGGGGACAGGCCGAGGGCUUUGUUGUGGACAGUUCGGGAGUACUGCAGUACAGGGACCGACUGUGUGUACCUAUGGAUUCAGAGAUCCGAGAGGACAUCUUGAGAGAGGCUCACUGUUCACCUUAUACGGUUCACCCCGGUGGAACCAAAAUGUAUAAGGAUUUAAAGGCUCAGUUUUGGUGGAAUGGAAUGAAGAGGGACAUUGGUAGAUUUGUGGCUCAGUGUCUGACUUGUCAACAGGUAAAGGCCGAGCAUCAGGUGCCUGCUGGCAAGCUUCAGAGUCUGCCAGUUCCCGAGUGGAAGUGGGAGCACAUCACGAUAGACUUCGUCGUUGGAUUGCCUAGAGCGCAGGGUGGCUAUGAUGCGAUUUGGGUGAUAGUGGACAGACUGACCAAGUCUGCUCACUUCCUACCGGUUCAUACUACCUGGUCCAGGGAGAGACUUGCGCAGCUAUACUUGGAUGAGAUUGUUAGGCUGCACGGCGUGCCAGUGUCGAUUGUAUCAGACAGAGACCCGAGGUUUGUAUCCCAGUUUUGGAGGAGUUUGCAGACAGCCUUGGGUACACAGCUGCAUUUUAGCACGGCGUUCCACCCACAGACAGAUGGUCAGUCAGAGCGGACCAUACAGACUCUAGAGGACAUGCUGAGGGCAUGUGUCCUGGACUUUGGAGGAGGGUGGUAUCGACAUUUGAGACUGGUUGAGUUUGCGUACAACAACAGCUAUCAAGCGAGCAUCCAGAUGGCUCCGUUUGAGGCGUUGUAUGGGCGCAGAUGUCGAUCCCCCCUGUUUUGGAGUGAUGUGGGUGAGCGGAGGACACUUGGGCCGGAGAUUCUACUUGAGGCUGAGGAAAAGGUGAGAGUCGUUCGACGACACCUUUUGACAGCACAGAGCCGACAGAGGAGCUACGCCGAUACCAGGAGACGAGACUUGGAGUUUCAGGUUGGAGAUCAUGUUUUCCUCAAAGUCUCGCCGUCCCGAGGGAUACGCAGAUUUGGAGUACGUGGAAAGCUUAGUCCACGGUUUGUUGGCCCUUUCGAGGUAUUGGAGCGUAUCGGACCGGUGGCUUACAGGAUAGCUCUUCCCCCGCGACUUGCUGGCAUCCAUGAUAUUUUCCACGUCUCAGCAUUGAGGAGGUACGUCUUUGAUCCCUCUCACGUGAUUGACUUCACUCCACUUGAGAUUGGCGAGGAUCUGAGAUACGAGGAGCGACCGUUGCGGAUUCUUGCUCGGGAGACGAAAGAAUUGCGCAACCGGGUCAUCCCGUAUGUGAAAGUGCAGUGGAGUAAUCAUGAUGAGCGGGAGGCGACUUGGGAGUCUGAGACGGUGAUGAGGGAAGCCUAUCCCUACUUGUUUGAUGCUUGAGUAGAGGUACGUUCAGUUUCGCGGACGAAACUUUUUGUAGUGGGGGAGGAUGUAGUAUACUAGUAUCCCUACACUUAGUAUAUAUAUAUAAGUGUGUGUGUGAGGGUACGUGUGUGUGUGUGUGUGAGUGCACAUGUGUGAGUAUGUGUAAUGCCAUGUGGCAUCACCUCCCCCCCCUCUUUUAUGCAUGCAGGGAAGAGAGAGAGAGGAGUUUAUCUCCUCUCUUCUCUCCUUUUCUCUUUCGUUCGGCCGUACCAAGGAAGCACGCGAGGGACGCCGCCGC